rnacentral:lncRNA from 1 species
CCGACGAAGUAAAGCAUUUAGCCAAUGCAGCGAAACAACACUUUCGGGCUAGCCGGGCAAGAGUCUCGAAGAAGCUGAUUGGCGCGGGUAGAUUACGUGACAGACUAUACUACUUGGAGCCUAUGUCGAGUGAGGGGGUAGCCAUGGCAGUAAAAAGGGGUCCGAUCAGAUCAACCAGUGACCGGUUUACGUCCAGCAACUGUGGUUAGUGAUUCAAUUGCCAGUCCUCUACAACCCGUUAUAAGACCCGGAUCUCCCCAACGCAGACGCUCUUGGCAUAGAAAGAGUCUUCAUUUCCGCGGAUUCUAUUCUCUGGUUCAUAGGUCCUAUUCU